CUUGUUGUGUGUGUCGGUGCCUCCUCGCCAUCUUGUUGCAAAGCCCUUUCUUGUCGGCGGGACUCCCGGGGGCCGCGGGGCGGGAGGCAUCGGAAGGGAGGUAGAGAGGGAGGGGAAGAAGGGAGGCAGUGCCGCCUUUUUUUUUUUUUGCAUCCUCUUUUUUNNNNNNNNNNUUUUUUUUUUUUUGCAUCCUAUUUUUUUAAAUUUGCAAUUUUAUAUUUUGCAAAUAUUUUGAGAGACAUUGAUUUUUCUCCCCGUGCUCCCCCGUUCUUCCCUGCGGAGUGCGCUGCGCCGCCCAGCCCUGUCGCCCCCCGGAGGUGAUCCCUCCCUCCUGCCUGCCCGCCAGCCUGACCUGUGCCCGGCUCGCGGGCCGCAGCCUCGGCCCCGGCGCGCCCCCGGCAGCUCUCGGCGCGAUGAGCAUAGAGACGCUACUGGAGGCGGCCCGCUUCCUGGAAUGGCAAGCGCAGCAACAACAGAGAGCACGUGGUGAGCGGCCGGGCUGGGUCCCCGCGAGAGCCGCCGCCUGGGGAGGGGUGAUGUGGGCAGUGAAAUUAAUUAAUGAAUUCAUUAACAUGCUGCGAGGGACCUGGCUCCUGCGGGCGCCACCCCGGCUGCGUGGCACCCCUGUGCCCCUUCUGUGGGGGGCUGCUUUUGCGUGGGCCAGCGGAGCCCUCGGUGACACUGAGGAUGUGUGAGCCGGGGGGUGGGGUGAGGAAUGGUGUUGCGUGGGGGUGGCAGGCUCGCGUGUGCGUGCGUGUGUGCACGGGGGAUGUGUGAUGUGA
rnacentral:lncRNA from 1 species